UUUUACUGACACCCUGCGGCGGGUACAAUCCCCUAAUCAGCGCACACCAGAUAAGACAUACAGCGAUCGAGAGAGAGAUCGAGAGAAAGAGAGAGGGAAAAAGGUUAAAGAUUGUGUGAGUUCAAGUCUUGUACAAAGAGGUCAAUUCCAGCAUGCCUACAGUUUAUAGCUGCACAUAUGGAUUUGAUCUCUGCUGGUUGUUCUCUCGGCC